UGGGGAAUCUUGGACAAUGGGCGAAAGCCUGAUCCAGCCAUGCCGCGUGAGUGAUGAAGGCCCUAGGGUCGUAAAGCUCUUUCGCCAGGGAUGAUAAUGACAGUACCUGGUAAAGAAACCCCGGCUAACUCCGUGCCAGCAGCCGCGGUAAUACGGAGGGGGUUAGCGUUGUUCGGAUUUACUGGGCGUAAAGGGCGCGUAGGCGGACGAUCAAGUCAGAGGUGAAAGGCCCGGGCUCAACCUGGGACGUGCCUUUGAAACUGAUUGUCUUGAGUGCGGAAGAGGGUGACGGAAUUCCCAGUGUAGAGGUGAAAUUCGUAGAUAUUGGGAAGAACACCGGUGGCGAAGGCGGUCACCUGGUCCGCAACUGACGCUGAGGCGCGAAAGCGUGGGGAGCAAACAGGAUUAGAUACCCCCGUAGUCC
rnacentral:rRNA from 1 species